AUCUAAUUGAAUUUAUCAUGUGACAUUCAGUUUAAAAGGUAGAUUUUAGGCUUAUCUGGCCACAUAUCAACAUACUGUUUGCCUGUUUAGUUUUUUUUUUGUUGUUGUUGCAGACUAGAGCAGUUAUUCUUGCAAAGUGUCUGCUGCUGCAUGAAAGCAGAAAAACUACUGCCCAGGGAAACGAGGUAUUCUGCAGUGGAGAAGGAGGGGUUAGCCAUCAAGUGGGCCCUGGAAAGCCUGCGCUAUUAUCUCCUUGGAAGAGAUUAUGAUUUGGAGACUGAUCAUCGUGCCCUCACCUGGAUACAUUCAAUGAAGGACCACAAUAAUCGACUGACCCGUUGAUAUCUCGCAUUUCAACCAUUCAAGUUUACCAUCAGACAUCGGCCCGGAAGGACCAACGUGGUGGCUGACUAUCUCUCACGGUUGCCACACAGUGUCAACCUGGAAGAGGAGGAGGGUGAUGUGACGGAGCGCCUAUAGAUGCAGUCACCUGCGCACACGCACACACAAACACAAAAGCAUACACACGCAGUUUUUCCACACAUAUUAACCUCUCACCGCAUUUUCAGACGCUGUGUCGCGAGGCAGGCGCUUCUUGGGUGGGUUGUGUUAAAGGGGGAAAAACUCAAUGCGCUUUACCGGGAGCCGUUAAGGACCGCGAGUUUCAAACGGAGGCGACACCUGAUCAGCUGUGUUAAGACGCGACCGGCAGCAGUGGGCGGAAAUGACGUCAUCACACAAAUGGGGGGAAAAACAAAUUAUUCAUGUGGCAGAAAUUGCCAGAAUGACAAGCAAAGGACUAAUCAGAGGAAUAUGCAGAAUCCAGCCUAAUGGGAGGGGCUUAGCAUAUAUAAGAGGGAGAGGUUAGUUGCCGCAGGAGGGCAAUGAGGGAAGACAUGGAUGUGCUCCUCUCCUGUGUAAUGCUGUUAAACAUAUGUAAAAUUUCACUGAGGAUUAUUGCACUUGGGGAAUUGUGGAGAAAAAUAAACCAGUUGCAAUUGGAUCACGAUUGCCUGGAUCUGUGAAACACCCAUCCUCAUCACAAGGAGACUCCUCUGAUUAUACAUUUACAUUUGAAGUCAGACGAGGAAACUGUUCCCACAGACUUUGUACUCCACUUAGAUCUAUAACCACUAGAAAGUAGCUAGG
rnacentral:lncRNA from 1 species